ACCUUAUAAGUUACAACAAUUAGGGUUUGUGGAGAAGGAUGGAUGGAGAUAGCUCUCUAAACUAAAGAAUCAAUACAGAAGAUGGAGGAGGAUGCGGCGGUGAUGGAUGGAGAAGGAGGAGAGUGGUCGCGGUUCGCCGGCGGUGGUGUGGUGGUGGAUGUUGUUCGGUCGGAUUUGCUUUGGCUGGGAGAAGAAAAAAGAGGAACGCGCAUCAGAUUGAAGGGAAAGGGGAAGAGGAAAUGAAAUUGAAUUGGUAAUAUUGAUAUUAAUAAAGGGUAUUGAAGUAAUUUCCUGUGUAUAAUUUUUUUUUUUUUUUUUUUAAAGAUGGGGUGGCAGCGGUGGCUCGCCCUUGCCACCCGCAGUUCCGCCACUAUAUCAAUAUAUAAAGAAAAUACAUCAAUUUGGGUAAAUCUCGUUAAAAUAUAAACGAUUAUAAUAGUAUUUAGACGUAUAAGUUAAUAAAGAGGUUUUGAUAUUCUCUAACUUAAAUAUUCAUUGUUCAAGAUUUUACAUGGUAAAAAUCACACAUUUUUUCAAAUUACAUUUUUCAAAACUGAUUUUUAUGAAAAGCUAUUUGAAAUAGCUUUUUUUUAGAGAUUAUUUCAAAAUUUUAGUAUAAAAAAAAAAUAUAACAAAAUGAUGAAAUACUUAGAGAGACGUUUUAAGAUAAGUUAUUCAAACGAAUUUUUCAUUUGAAUAUUUCCUUAAAAAUUUCUUUAUUGAAAAAUUAUAACAAAACUAUAUUAGACUACAAAAAUCCAUUUAAAAAAAAUUAUAGCAAACAUGCCUAAAUUAAUACCAAAAAUGGGGCUAGGUGUAACACCCUAAUCCCAACAAAUAUUUUAGAAAAUUGUUGUUCUUACUUCAAAAACAUCAUAUUAACGCAUGUAAAUUCCUUAAAAGCCCUUCAGGGGUAGUUAACUACCGUUGAGGAAGCCGGCAACAGUUAACUGCCGCUGGCCUCAGCAGUAGUUAAUUAUCGCUGCGUGAGAUACAUAUUCUAGCCAGUGACCGGAAUUCAGACACUCCAUCAUCACCAUCUUCUCUCUAAAAAUUAUAAAUUUUCACUCUCUUUCUCUCUCAAAACUCUACCAAACUAUCCAAAAAAAUUUCCACUCAAUUACAAGUAAGUUAUCACUUAUGCUAUUGUCAUAAAUUUUAGUUAAUUAUAUAUGUUUAUAAUUUUAGUUGUAAACUCCAAGAUCCCAAGCCAACCAUUGGACCAACCCCAAAUUGGUUUCUAAUAAUGACAAUCUUAUUUCAGAAUUUGUCACAUAAAGCUUAUAAAUAAUUUUUGAAAUCUCGCUAAAAUCAUCCCCAACACAUGUAAAGGUAAAAAGUCAGCAUCCAUAAUUUAUGAGUUCCCCGAAAUUUGACCUCUUGGUUUUCAAAAAAUCUCAUACAAGUUGGACGACCAUCCUCCCUUUCUUUUCCCUACUUGCUCGACGGGUGAAUCUUGCUGUUAAUCUCUGUUCUGCUUGUGCAGCGGAGGGCAGUGGCGGAGUCAGGAAUUUCGCAGAUCCUGGGCAAAAUAUUUUGCCAAUUAUUUCCGGAAUAUAUAUUAAACAAUUUUAUAAUAUUAGAGAAAUUGUGUAUUGGUGCAGUGGUUUGUUUUGUUGAAACUAACAUGAACGGCGGUUCAAGUCCCAAUAGAACCACUUUUUUUGAAUAAAAAUAUUUUUAAUACAAUAGAAAAUAAAAAAAGAGAGUUACCAUGGAUCGGACCCACGCCCUAGGGGCAUUAGGGAGCGCGCCUAUCCACUGCAACACCAUGUAACAUAUGAUAUAUUAUGGAUAAUAUUAUAAUUGUAGGUAAGUUGAGGAUUGCAGUGGCACUUAUGGGUCUCCUACGAGAUCCGGGACUGAGCCCGGGCGUGUGCCCAGGCUAGCUGGGUGGUAAAACCGCCCCUGGCGGAGGGUCCAUCUCCGUCGUGCCCAGGAAACAUUUACACGCAUCCAUUACUUUUUGGGGUGCCUUCACCACAAAAAUUGUUCACCUAAGAUUGGUCCUUGAUUUGUAUCAUGACACAAUGUAAGAAUUUUAGCUCUUCUAUAGUAUCUCACUGAAGGCACGGCUCAACAGAAGGAGGUCUUCUUUGCCCUCCACCAAAGUUACACAAGAAAAGUCCAAAGUCGAUCUCAAUAAACACAGAAGCUUCAUAGGGAUUUCCUAUCCGGUUCUACACCUUCACAUGUAUGUCUAUUUCACCAAAUCUCUCUUCCGUAGGGGUGUGGAAACAGCACGGGAAUCACACCUUAUUCGGGAGUUCUCUUUGCUUUGUGAGUUAUAAAUACUAUAUAAUAGUUCCCAAAAUUCCUCCCAAUACAUUUUUUGAAGUUACCUAAAAUCACACCUUUGGUUUUGGUUUUGAUUGCACUUCUUUUUAAAAAUGUAGAUUAUAUAUCAUUUUCGUAUUUCUUGAAAAAUUAGUUGCUCAUAUUUUAGUUUUUGAAUUUAAGUCCUCAAUUUUACAAAUUGAACGGUUGUCAACUAUGUUCAAGAACUACAAACAAAAAUAAAUAAAUCAUCUCCUAUAAGAAAAAUAACUAUAUUUUUAUUCUUUUUAAACAAUAACCUCAUGUUUCUAUCAAAUCCUUCAAAUUUAAAACAAUUUCUAAAAUCUGAAAGAGUAAAAUGAUAAAGCACAAUAAAAUUUGUUAAAUGUGAACCACAAGAUUUAUAACUACACUGUGUGCAAUUUAUAAUCAAUUCUAUGAGAACUUGAAUCCAAUUGCCUGGUUGAUAAUUCAAAAAUGUUUUGUAAGAUGCAACGCCAACGAGGAUAUACAAUGCAUUAAACAAAACGCAAAACUAGAUUAACAAUCUAUCCGCUGAAAGUAAACCUGUUGGCCGUUGAUGAAGACGGCAACACAAAAACUGCAAUUGCAUGUCUAGUAGAAAAGAAACCAAAAUCAACUUUCAAUCAUUGGUUCAGGGUCAGAUGUUUCUGUACGAGACUUGUUAGCUUGAUGAACAGAGUUGAACAGGAUGUCCUUGAUUACCUGCAUCCAACAAAUUCAGUAUAAUAUUUUAGCCGUUAGAAAUAUUUUACAUAUUUUUCUUUUUUUGGUAGGAGGAUGGUGUUGGCAAUUACCUGUGACAUUAAACCAUGCACUUGUUCAACAGUUAUUUUUGCACUAUCACGAGUGAUCUUAGCAAGUGGAGAUUCUUCCUGCGAAUCAUUUGAGAAUUUGAUAUGUCAGAAUGAAAAAUUAACCCGGGUGAUGGCUCAGAAAGUUAAUAGUGUAGAUAACAUCAAAUAGAUAACAGUUUAUCAUGCAUUUGCAUGGUCAAGAUUGGUUCUAUGCCAUGGGCUGAAGAUUGCUCCAAACUAAAAAACAUUUAUCUAUAUCUGUUCAUAAUGGAAAAUGAAGAAUGACGAGGCAAUACAGCACAGUGAGCAUAAACUAAUCAAACAUCAAAAUAUUCUGAUACAGCACUGUAUGGCCGGUGCACACAAACAGGCAGUUUCUUUGAUGAAACUUGUACAAAAAAAUAAAAAUAAUAUGAGAGAUUGUGUGAUGGUGAGGGAUGAAUGAUGAGUAUGCAUAGCACACUAGUANCAACUUAUAGCAUAUGCGCUUAUUUAUAAGCUUCUCCUAUAACUAAGAUAAAAUAAAGUUAAAUUGUUUUCAUUUUAGCUAUAAGCUGUUUUCAUAAGCAUUGUUGGAGAGCUUAUGAAAGUAAGUUGAAAACAACUUACAAACGUGUCUUAUGUUGUUUUCAUAAGUUCUUGCAAACAGUCUCACAAGUGCUUAUUUCAGUAAAUAAGUACAAAUAAGUCAAACCAAACAGGUCUUAAGUGCUUAUGUAUAAGCUACUUCUAAUUUUCUAUAACAUAAGAUAAAAUAAACUCAAACUGUUAUCAUAUAAGAUAUUAUUUUCUAGAAUAGCUCAUGAAAACAACUUAUGACUUAUACGACAACAUUUUGACUUUAUAUUAUCAUAUCUUAUCUAAUACAUAAGCACUUACAUAAAAUGUGUUUAUGCAAUAAGUGCUUAAUUAAGCUAUUUAUCCUAACAUGGCAUCAUUAGUUUAUGAAAUCAAUGAAAAUAAAUGUUAUACUACUGACAUGUCCCUACACUGUUUUCACCUUUUCUUCCAUAAGCUCUCUAGGAUAGCUUAUGAAAAUAUCCUAUAAAUUAUGAAAAACAUUUUGACUUUAUAUUAUGAUACAUAAUACACAGGCACUUACAUGAAACAUGUUUAUGCAAUAAGCGCUUAAUUAAGCUAUUUACCUAAACCGGGCAUUAUUAGUUUCAAAAUUCAUAAGUUAUGCGAGAUUGUUUGAAAGAACUUACGAAAACAACUUAUGACAUGUUCAUAAGUUGUUUUCAUCUUAUUUUGGUACACUCUCCAAGAUAGUUUAUGAAAACAGUUUAUAGACAUAUCUUAUUUUGGUACACUCAUACGAAAAAAUUUAACUUCACUUUAUCUUUUACUAUAGACUUAGCUUAUAUACAUAAGUGUUUAUGCUAUGAGCUGCAACUAAGGUGUUUAUCCAAACAUGACCAAUAUAUAAAUAUGUCAAGACAUGUGUUUUCAAACACAUUACAUGUUGUGGCAACACAUGAUUAGAUGCAUGUGUAAAAUAAUAAUUUUACAUCGACAACGCAUAUAUAAAGGGAUAUAAAAGAGUGGAUUUGAAUGUAACCUCUUCCCAUUUAGUUUGAAGUUCCAAAAGCUCUUGACAGUAAUGAAGACAUUCAUUAUGAUAUGCAACAGCUAAGUCUUUGAUCAAAGCUUUUCUUUUGAUGAUACCAACCACUUCAAUUAAUCAAAAAUUAUUUUUUUUUUAAUCAUUUAUCAAAAGCUAAACUCAUAAUUGCAAUGUAUGAAAUUGAAACCCUAAAUUCAGUAAAAAUUGAAUGUGUGAGAAAAUUGAAAAGAGAAUGAAAAGAAAGAAGGAAAGUUACUUCGACUGGGAUCAAAUGGUAAUGGUGGGUCGGAAGAUGGAGGGAGAUUUUGCUCUUGCUCUUGCUCUUGCUCUUGUUCGUUUUUAUUUGAGGGAUGCUCUUGUUCUUCUUCUUCCGCCAUUGAUGAAGCUUCUGCGAGUUCUAAUAAAACAUGGUAGUUGUUGAAGUAGCUCAAACAGGUGACACGUGUCCAAAAGGGUAAUUUAGGUUUUACCACAGCAUCUUCUUUUCUUAUAUUUAAGAAGGAUUUGUACCACUGUGUAUAAUAAUAAUUUUUAAAUAACACCUAUAAAACUCUCAAAGCACAAGAAACAACAUGAAAUAAACACAAACACAUAGUGCGCAAUCCCCAAAAGAUUUUUCAUGAAAACCCAUUCCGUAUUACUAAAAUUGAAUUAUCAAACCCCAUUAUAGACCUUAUAACAAUACUCAAUCCACCAAUCAAAAUAAAACAACCCCACAAAAGAAACUCCAAAACAAAAACAAAACCAUUUGUUCAUUUCAACUUCAACCAUUUCAUAGAGACAUAAACACAAACACCUAGAGAUAAGCAGAACAUUCUUGUCUUACUAAAACAUUUUUGUAGCAAUCACUAGCAAUCAAAAACUCAAAAAUUCAAUUUCACAUUACUAAAUCAUUACUAAAUACACAUACAAAAUUACAAAUCAUUACCAGAAUAUUAAAUUCAAUUUCACAUUACUAAAGAACAUGUAAUCAUCAAAUCAGAAUCAGAAUUGAAGGAAAUUACAUUCAAAUUAGGGUUUGUGGAGAAGGAUGGAUGGAGAUAGCUCUCUAAACUAAAGAAUCAAUACAGAAGAUGGAGGAGGAUGCGGCGGUGAUGGAUGGAGAAGGAGGAGAGUGGUCGCGGUUCGCCGGCGGUGGUGUGGUGGUGGAUGUUGUUCGGUCGGAUUUGCUUUGGCUGGGAGAAGAAAAAAGAGGAACGCGCAUCAGAUUGAAGGGAAAGGGG
rnacentral:lncRNA from 1 species